UAGUAAACACCGGGGUGGCCGCCUGGGGUAUCGUCGAUGCCCCAGGCGCCUGAGAAAAGACCCGAUGAACCUGAUCCGGUUAAUACCGGCGGAGGGAGCUUAUGAUUUUCCCAU
rnacentral:ncRNA from 1 species